UACGGAGGGUGCAAGCGUUACCCGGAUUCACUGGGUUUAAAGGGUGCGUAGGCGGGCAGGUAAGUCAGUGGUGAAAUCUCCGGGCUUAACCCGGAAACUGCCGUUGAUACUAUCUGUCUUGAAUAUCGUGGAGGUAAGCGGAAUAUGUCAUGUAGCGGUGAAAUGCUUAGAUAUGACAUAGAACACCCAUUGCGAAGGCAGCUUACUACACGAUCAUUGACGCUGAGGCACGAAAGCGUGGGGAGCAAACAGG
rnacentral:rRNA from 1 species